rnacentral:rRNA from 1 species
UAGGGAAUUUUCCACAAUGGGCGAAAGCCUGAUGGAGCAACGCCGCGUGCAGGAUGAAUGCCUUCGGGUUGUAAACUGCUUUUAUAUGUGACGAAUAUGACGGUAGCAUAUGAAUAAGGAUCGGCUAACUCCGUGCCAGCAGCCGCGGUCAUACGGAGGAUCCAAGCGUUAUCCGGAAUUACUGGGCGUAAAGAGUUGCGUAGGCGGCAUUGUAAGCGAGUAGUGAAAUCGUGUGGCUCAACCAUACUUACAUUAUUCGAACUGCAAAGCUAGAGGACAAGAGAGGUCACUGGAAUUCCCUGUGUAGGAGUGAAAUCCGUAGAUAUAGGGAGGAACACCGAUGGCGUAGGCAGGUGACUGGCUUGUUCCUGACGCUCAGGCACGAAAGCGUGGGUAGCAA